rnacentral:rRNA from 1 species
UACGUAGGGGGCAAGCGUUGUCCGGAUUUAUUGGGCGUAAAGAGCGUGUAGGCGGCCAGGUAGGUCUGCUGUGAAAACUCGAGGCUCAACCUCGAGAUGUCGGCGGAAACCGUCUGGCUAGAGUCCGGAAGAGGAGAAUGGAAUUCCCGGUGUAGCGGUGAGAUGCGCAGAUAUCGGGAAGAACACCCGUGGCGAAGGCGGUUCUCUGGGACGGUACUGGCGCUGAGACGCGAAAGCGUGGGGAGCGAACAGG